rnacentral:rRNA from 1 species
AGUGAACGCUGGCGGUAGGCCUAACACAUGCAAGUCGAACGGCAGCACAGUAAGAGCUUGCUCUUACGGGUGGCGAGUGGCGGACGGGUGAGGAAUACAUCGGAAUCUACUUUUUCGUGGGGGAUAACGUAGGGAAACUUACGCUAAUACCGCAUACGAUCUACGGGUGAAAGCAGGGGAUCUUCGGACCUUGCGCGUUUGAAUGAGCCGAUGUCGGAUUAGCUAGUUGGCGGGGUAAAGGCCCACCAAGGCGACGAUCCGUAGCUGGUCUGAGAGGAUGAUCAGCCACACUGGAACUGAGACACGGUCCAGACUCCUACGGGAGGCAGCAGUGGGGAAUAUUGGACAAUGGGCGCAAGCCUGAUCCAGCCAUACCGCGUGGGUGAAGAAGGCCUUCGGGUUGUAAAGCCCUUUUGUUGGGAAAGAAAAGCAGCAGGUUAAUACCCCGCUGUUCUGACGGUACCCAAAGAAUAAGCACCGGCUAACUUCGUG